GACGUAGGGCGCGAGCGUUGUCCGGAUUUAUUGGGCGUAAAGAGCUCGUAGGUGGCUUGUUGCGUCAGCUGUGAAAACCCGCAGCUCAACUGUGGGCUUGCAGCUGAUACGGGCAGGCUUGAGUUCGGUAGGGGAGACUGGAAUUCCUGGUGUAGCGGUGAAAUGCGCAGAUAUCAGGAGGAAUACCGAUGGCGAAGGCAGGUCUCUGGGCUGACACUGACGCUCAUGCACGAAAGCGUGGGGAGCAAACAGG
rnacentral:rRNA from 1 species